CCUUUAUUGCGCAAAACAGCAGCAUAGAAACCCUAAAAAGGAAAAGAAUUAAUACAUUAAAAAAGUGAGCUAGCAGAGAUCUCAGUAUUAGCCAAUAAUUGUCCAAGCUGUGCAAUAUUCUCAUUGGCAUACAAAACAUUGGGCCUGUAUAUUGCCCUUUACUUAACAGUAACAAGAAAUCAGAAAACCAGUGAUUACAACACUUUUUUUUCAUAUUCCACAAAUGGAAAAAUGUUUACAUUCAUCAUAAUACUUUUGUUACAGUAAGUGUUACAAAGUGAAUGCAUACAUUCUAGCUGCUUCUCCUUAGACAUACUAGGUUAGGGUGGGUUCCCCCUCUCCAAACCAAGUUUCUCAUCGCGAUGCAACGGUAGCUUGUGCCCCUAAUGAGUGCCAUAGAUGCUUGUGGUGCACUUGUCAGCUCAGCUUGGAUUCAAUGGUUUGUCAGUAACUGGUAUGUAAUCCUUUAAAGGAAACAAAGCCAAACUACAACUGCAAAAGAAGAAAAAAAAUCUUUGGCCCCUUAGAAUAACAAAGCGAGUGGUCGAUGUAAAAGAGGGAUGAGCAGUGUGGAAGCAAAGAUCUAUUAAUAGGGGUGAGGUUGAGAGAGGCCAUCUAUAAUCAGUUUUCAUUAAUGCUAAUAAGAGCCUUUGGAUUUGGAUUUAUGAAGAGUAAUGUGAUUUAGGAAUUAUUUUGAGGAUUCUGUAGCCAUGGAUCAUAGAUUUUGUGAAAACUUUAGUGG